CCUACGGGAGGCUGCAGUGAGGAAUAUUGGUCAAUGGCCGUAAGGCUGAACCAGCCAAGUAGCGUGAGGGAAGACUGCCCUAUGGGUUGUAAACCUCUUUUAUGCGGGGAUAAAGGUGUCCACGUGUGGAUGUUUGCAGGUACCGCAUGAAUAAGGACCGGCUAAUUCCGUGCCAGCAGCCGCGGUAAUACGGAAGGUCCGGGCGUUAUCCGGAUUUAUUGGGUUUAAAGGGAGCGUAGGCCGGUCUUUAAGCGUGCCGGGAAAUUUUGUGGCUCAACCAUGAGAGUGCGGCGCGAACUGGAGACCUUGAGUGCGCGGGAGGCAGGCGGAAUUCGUGGUGUAGCGGUGAAAUGCUUAGAUAUCACGAAGAACCCCGAUUGCGAAGGCAGCCUGCCGCAGCGUUACUGACGCUGAAGCACGAAAGCGCGGGUAUCGAACAGGAUUAGAUACCCGAGUAGUC
rnacentral:rRNA from 1 species